rnacentral:lncRNA from 1 species
ACAAUGCAAUGCUUGGACAAAUGUGAAGGAAGAAAAUUAGUUAAUAGAGUAUUGAUAUAAUUGUCCAAGUAAUUAUAGAGGAAUGUAAUGGAGGAAAGAGGGAAUGCCGAGUAUCGAGACACGCCCAAAUAUUAUGAUUCUUUGCACUAUUGGGAUCUCAAUCAUUCCUUGUUCCUCUAGGCAUGGGGACUACUAAUGAUGCAAGGAUUGGCAUAAGGAAUCA